UAAGGAAUAUUGGUCAAUGGAGGCAACUCUGAACCAGCCAUGCCGCGUGCAGGAAGACGGCCCUCUGGGUUGUAAACUGCUUUUGCCGGGGAAUAAACCCCUCUACGUGUAGAGGGCUGAAUGUACCCGGCGAAUAAGGAUCGGCUAACUCCGUGCCAGCAGCCGCGGUAAUACGGAGGAUCCGAGCGUUAUCCGGAAUUAUUGGGUUUAAAGGGUGCGUAGGCGGCCUGAUAAGUCAGGGGUGAAAGACGGUGGCUCAACCAUCGCAGUGCCUUUGAUACUGUCGGGCUUGAAUGUACUUGAGGUAGGCGGAAUGUGACAAGUAGCGGUGAAAUGCAUAGAUAUGUCACAGAACACCGAUUGCGAAGGCAGCUUACUAAAGUAUGAUUGACGCUGAGGCACGAAAGCGUGGGGAUCAAACAGG
rnacentral:rRNA from 1 species